rnacentral:rRNA from 1 species
GACAAACGCUGGCGGCGUGCCUAACACAUGCAAGUCGAACGAGUGCCCUUCGGGGUGCUAGUGGCGGACGGGUGAGUAACACGUAGUUGACCUGCCCAAUAGUGGGGAAUAACUCCUCGAAAGAGGAGCUAAUACCGCAUAAGCUCUAGCACGUUGGUGAUAGAGGAAACCUUCUUCGUAAGAGGAGGGGCUAUAGGAGGGGACUGCGGCGGAUUAGCUAGUUGGUGGGGUAAAAGCCUACCAAGGCGACGAUCCGUAGCUGGUCUGAGAGGACGACCAGCCACACUGGGACUGAGACACGGCCCAGACUCCUACGGGAGGCAGCAGUGAGGAAUAUUCCACAAUGGGCGAAAGCCUGAUGGAGCGACGCCGCGUGAGGGAAGACGCCCUUUGGGGUGUAAACCUCUUUUCAGGGGGAUGAAACGGCACCUUCGGGUGCCUAAGACAGUACCCCUGGAAUAAGCAUCGGCUAACUACGUGCCAGCAGCCGCGGUAAUACGUAGGAUGCAAGCGUUGUCCGGAUUUACUGGGCGUAAAGCGCGCGCAGGCGGCACACCAAGUACCCUCUGAAAUCUCCCUGCUCAACGGGGAGGGUGGAAGGUAGACUGGUGAGCUAGAGGUCGGUAGAGGGUGGUGGAAUUGCUGGUGUAGCGGUGAAAUGCGUAGAUAUCAGCAGGAACACCCGUGGCGAAGGCGGCCACCUGGGCCGAUAAAACCCCUCUUAGUACUUUGUACUCAUUCUACUUCAUGUAGAAUGAAAGAGAGGGUACCUGACGCUGAGGCGCGAAGGCUAGGGGAGCGAACGGGAUUAGAUACCCCGGUAGUCCUAGCAGUAAACGAUGACCACUAGGUGUGGGGGGUGUUGACCCCUCCUGUGCCGAAGCUAACGCAUUAAGUGGUCCGCCUGGGGAGUACGGUCGCAAGACUAAAACUCAAAGGAAUUGACGGGGACCCGCACAAGCAGCGGAGCGUGUGGUUUAAUUCGAUGCGACGCGAAGAACCUUACCAGGGCUUGACAUGUACUCGCAACACCUUGAAAGAGGUGCCUCCUUCGGGACGGGUACACAGAUGCUGCAUGGCUGUCGUCAGCUCGUGUCGUGAGAUGUUGGGUUAAGUCCCGCAACGAGCGCAACCCCCGUGCCUAGUUGCAAAUCUAGGGAGACUGCCGGAGAUAAACCGGAGGAAGGUGGGGAUGACGUCAAGUCAGCAUGGCUCUUACGUCCUGGGCUACACACACGCUACAAUGGCAGUUACAGCGAGAAGCCAGCCCGCGAGGGUGAGCGGACCUCUAAAAGGCUGCCCAAGUUCAGAUUGCACUCUGCAACCCGAGUGCAUGAAGUCGGAGUUGCUAGUAACCGCGUGUCAGCAUAGCGCGGUGAAUAUGUUCCCGGGUCUUGUACACACCGCCCGUCACGUCAUGGGAGUUGGCAACACCUGAAGUCCGUAAGCUAACUCUUAUCCUUCGGGGUAAGAGAGGCAGCGGCCGAGGGUGGGGCUGAUGACUGGGACG